rnacentral:rRNA from 1 species
CAAUAGCGUAUAUUAAAGUUGUUGCGGUUAAAAAGCUCGUAGUUGGAUUUCUGCUUUGGACGACCGGUCCGCCCUGUGGGUUGGCAUCUGGAUCGGCCUGGGCAUCUUCUUGGGGAACGUAGCUGCACUUGACUGUGUGGUGCGGUAUCCAGGACUUUUACCUUGAGGAAAUUAGAGUGUUUCAAGCAGGCGCACGCCUUGAAUACAUUAGCAUGGAAUAAUAAGAUAGGACCUCGGUUCUAUUUUGUUGGUUUCUAGAGCUGAGGUAAUGAUUAAUAGGGAUAGUUGGGGGCAUUCGUAUUUAACUGUCAGAGGUGAAAUUCUUGGAUUUGUUGAAGACGGACUACUGCGAAAGCAUUUGCCAAGGAUGUUUUCAUUGA